CAGAUUCCUUUGCUCGUGUGUUUUUCCUGCUUCAGGAGGACAGAGAAAGCCACUCAGGUGGAGUGGGCUGGACUCCGUCGCAGAGGGCUUUGGGACCAACCGUGGCUGGGGAUGGUCUCAGCAGUGAACAGAUGUGAGCUUACCAAGUCAAGGUGCUGGGGGAGGACGGGCCAGUGUCUUGCUGUCUUGGAAGCACUCCACAGCACCAGUGAAGGAAGGCGUCACGGAUGCCAGUCUUCUUGUUUACAUACUUGCUGAACAGGCUGAUGGUGUGAUGUGAAAAUGGCUGACAAGCUGCCACUGACGGCUGGCUUACCACUCCAUCUACCGUGAGCUCAGAAGCCAGGGCACCAUGCAAGGGGACAUUCAACAGUCAGUGAAGGGACUCUGGCUAGCUUGAGUGUGGCAAGCAUGGCUCUGGAAGAGGGCUCUCUGAGUUCUCUAUACACUGAAAAACCAUAAAACGUCACUGAGAAAAAUGCAAGAGGAGAGAAAGAAAUGAGGCCACACAUGUAUUCAAGAACCAGAAGACUCGAUGCUGGUAAAGAUGCCAACCCUCCUCCCGAGGAAAAUCCUAAUACAAUCUUUUGGUAGAAAUUGAAAGACGAGUUUUUACUUCAUGUGCAAACCUGUAUGACCCAGACUAACAAAACCAAACCACAACAAGCUAAAAGCAAGACACUUUACAGAAUAGCUCGGAGGAAUACAAUGACUCAGUGCCAGGACUCACAAAACCAUGCUCAUCACAACUGUGGGACACAGGUAUUUACAUUACAAUUCAUAACAGUAGUGAAAUUACAGUUAUGAAAUAGCAAUGAAAAUAAUUUUAUGAUUGGGGGUCACCACAACAUGAGGAACUGUAUUAAAGGGUCACAAUAUUAGGAAGGUUGAGACUUGCUGCUCUAAAGACAUUGUUAACAAAAUGAAAAAACAAGGCAGAUAUUGGAAGAAAAGGACCACAAUCUAUCGGUUUGACCAAGUACAAAUAGAAACAAUAAGAAACUCAGUAUCCGUAAUAAGAAAGCAAUCUGUUUAA